rnacentral:lncRNA from 1 species
GAACAGACGGGCGUGCACAGGCUCGGCCUACACAGUUUUCUCACAUGGUCCACGCAUGGUGCAUGGACCAGUGCUCCAUGGGGACCCAUGUGGAUCGGGAGGAUAUUUCUCCUAGAUUUCUCAUGGUCCACCAUGGAUCGGAUGGCAUUUUCCUAGGUUUCUCAUGGUCUACGGUACUAUUGCAUGGAUCGAACGUGAUCAAAUAGUUGAGAUCCAAUCUAGUGCAUGAUCGGAUAGUGCAAAUGGCUUGCCGACAUAAUCUGGGUCUGAUGGAGCUUGAUCGAGCAUGAUGGAGCAGUUGAGGAGACUUGCGGU